rnacentral:rRNA from 1 species
UACGGGGGGGGCAAGCGUUGUUCGGAAUUACUGGGCGUAAAGGGUUUGUAGGUGGCUUGUUAAGUCAGACGUGAAAUCCCUCAGCUUAACUGGGGAACUGCGUCUGAUACUGGCGAGCUUGAGUGCAGGAGAGGAACGCGGAAUUCCAGGUGUAGCGGUGAAAUGCGUAGAUAUCUGGAGGAACACCGGUGGCGAAGGCGGCGUUCUGGACUGUGUCUGACACUGAAGAACGAAAGCCAGGGGAGCAAACGGG